UACGAAGGGGGCUAGCGUUGUUCGGAAUCACUGGGCGUAAAGGGCGCGUAGGCGGCUUUAUAAGUCGGGGGUGAAAGCCUGUGGCUCAACCACAGAAUUGCCUUCGAUACUGUAGAGCUUGAGACCGGAAGAGGUAAGUGGAACUGCGAGUGUAGAGGUGAAAUUCGUAGAUAUUCGCAAGAACACCAGUGGCGAAGGCGGCUUACUGGUCCGGUUCGUGACGCUGAGGGCGCGAAAAGCGUGGGGGAGCAAAACA
rnacentral:rRNA from 1 species